AACUAGGGCUCGCUCUCCCUCUCGUCCACUCGAGACUCGACGCCGCCACCGUUCCUGCAGUCUCCUUCGCGCCGCCGGACUCCGUCCGUCCACUCCGCGGCCUCUAGCGGCUAGAUCGAGCCGGGGCUGUGCUAUUCCUCGCCGGAGGCGGAAGAUUCGGCAGCACCGCGUCCUCCCUCGCCGGGAUCGAGCCGGCCGCCCGGGGUCCGGAGUCCCGCGCAUGACGACGCACGGGAUCCAAGGUCCCGGCGGCCGCCGUCUCUAGCGUGUAAGCUCGGCCGGUCUACUCCUCCAGGCCUCCCUCCCUCAGAUCUCCCGGCUGCCCUCCACCUGGCCGCCUGCCUCCGACCCGCCACCGGCCUGCACCAAGCUGGCAAGCACCCCGCCUACUGGACGGCCCAGCUGCGCUCCCGCUCAGGAAUGUAUUAUUUGGUGGAUUCAGGGUAUGCCCAAAAACGGGGGUAUUUGGGCCCCCAUCGCAUGACCAGGUACUGGAAGAAGGAGUUCAUGAAUACGGACCUGAGCAUUUGCGAGAGGUGUUCAACUACCAUCAUUCGAAACUGCGUAAUAUAGUUGAAAGGCCAUUUGAGGUAGCCAAAAAUAAGUGGCAAAUGUUGAAAGGAAUGCUGCAGUAUCGUAAGGACAAGCAAGGGCAGAUUAUUGUGGCAUGUAUUGCACUGCGUAACUUUGUAAGGGAUGAGAAUGCAGGGACAUUGAGAGUCGACAGGAUGCCGAUACCUACACUAA